UAGAGUUCUAUUGAAUUUCACAUGGUGGAAGUAUGUGGAUUAUGGAGUGCUUGUUGUUAUUAUUUUUUUGGAAAUAUAUAAUGACUUUUAAAAUGAUUGUUACAAGUAUGAUGAUGAGGGCAGGGAAUUUUAUCAAACCAUCUAAAUUUAGUAUAUAAUUAUUCAUUAUUGCUUUCCAUUUCAUAUGCUUUGAAACGCUUAAUCCUCUCAACUCUUGCCGAGAAAUCCUCUGCAAACCAUCUGUUGAAGCCUUUGAGGCUGCUAUUAGAAUCACGAAAGUUGAUCCAAAGAAAAUGAUUUUCUUUGAUGACAAUGUGUUAUAAAUGUUGCAAGUGGAAACAUAUUUAUAUUGAAGAAACACAAGGAGAUGAUCAAGAAGAAUAUUAUGAUGCAUGAGUUUAAUUAAUAGUAUAGUUGUGUUUUAUAUUAUCUAGCUCUUAGAACUUUUGUUUUGAGUUUGGGAAGACUCUCUCGAGAGAAACUUGGUUUUGUUUAAGAAUGAUAACAUCAAAACUUGGUUUUGGGCCGGUAACGUCGCUUGAUGUAGACUUUAACUUCUUAAUGAAUGUUUUGUUCUUGACGUUAAA